rnacentral:lncRNA from 1 species
AGGUAUCGUCGUCACAAAAGCUGGUGAGAAAAGGUGAUGCUUCUGAGCAAGACUGGCUUUCAGACUCCUCCUCCUCCUCCUCCACACCGCAGGACACUCAACAGAAAGGUACCUUGCAGAUGUAGCUGGUAGAAUACAUCAAAGAUAUACAAAAAUAACCAAAGAAAAGUUUGACGAGUUAAAAGAAGAAACAGUGCAUCUUUACACUGCAAACCAAGCCCUCAGCCUUGAACUGAGCACUCUGAGACA